rnacentral:rRNA from 1 species
UUGAACGCUGGCGGCAUGCUUUACACAUGCAAGUCGAACGGCAGCGCGGGCUUCGGCCUGGCGGCGAGUGGCGAACGGGUGAGUAAUGCAUCGGAACGUGCCCAGUAGUGGGGGAUAGCCCGGCGAAAGCCGGAUUAAUACCGCAUACGACCUGAGGGUGAAAGAGGGGGACCGAAAGGCCUCGCGCUAUUGGAGCGGCCGAUGUCGGAUUAGCGAGUUGGUGGGGUAAAGGCUUACCAAGGCGACGAUCCGUAGCUGGUCUGAGAGGACGACCAGCCACACUGGGACUGAGACACGGCCCAGACUCCUACGGGAGGCAGCAGUGGGGAAUUUUGGACAAUGGGGGCAACCCUGAUCCAGCCAUGCCGCGUGCGGGAAGAAGGCCUUCGGGUUGUAAACCGCUUUUGUUCGGGAAGAAAUCCUCUGGGCUAAUACCCCGGGGGGAUGACGGUACCGGAAGAAUAAGCACCGGCUAACUACGUG